rfam:Medicago truncatula strain A17 chromosome 6, whole genome shotgun sequence.
AAACAGCCCCCUAUAUUUUGAUUCUUUGGUAGUUUUGGACCCCCAAGGCAAAAAAAAAUAAAAAAAUUUGAAACAUGGCACCUCACUUAGGGUGCCACGUCAGCGUUGACCGAGUCAACAAUAGACUGGGGGUCCAAAACUGCCAAAGAAUCAAAACAUAGGGGGCUGUUU